CCCUUUAAAAGGAGGAGCAGGCGCGCAAUUACCCAAUCCUGACUCAGGGAGGUAGUGACAAGAAAUAACAAUAAACCGGCUUAUGCCGGUUUAAUUGGAAUGAGUACAAUUUAAACAUCUUAACGAGGAACAAUUGGAGGGCAAGUCUGGUGCCAGCAGCCGCGGUAAUUCCAGCUCCAAUAGCGUAUACUAAAGUUGUUGCAGUUAAAAAGCUCGUAGUUGGAUUUCUGUGGGGACGGAGCGGCCGGCCGCACAUCGCGGUUCGAGCUAGCGCUUUCCCUACAUCCUGCCGCGAACCGUGCUACCAUUAAUUUGGUGGCGCUGGGGAUCGGCUCGAUUACUUUGAGAAAAAUAGAGUGUUCAAAGCAGGCCACAUGCCUUGAAUAAGUUAGCAUGGAAUAAUAACUAAGGACUUCGGUUCUAUUUUGUUGGUGUUCGGGACUGAAGUAAUGAUUGAUAGGGACAGUUGGGGCGGUCUGUAUUCCAAAGCGAGAGGUGAAAUUCUUAGACCUUCGGAAGACAAACAGCUGCGAAAGCGUUCCGCAAGGAUGUUCCCUUUGAUCAAGAACGAAAGUUGGGGGAUCGAAGACGAUCAGAUACCGUCGUAGUCUCAACUAUAAACUAUACCAGCUAGGGAUCGGCCAACGUUAUUUUAUACCGACUUGGUCGGCACCUUAUGAGAAAUCAAAGCAUCUGGGUUCCGGGGGGAGUAUGGUCGCAAGGCUGAAACUUAAAGGAAUUGACGGAAGGGCACCACCAGCCGUGGAGCCUGUGGCUUAAUUUGACUCAACACGGGAAAACUUACCAGGUCCAGACAUAGUAAGGAUUGACAGAUUGAUAGCUCUUUCUUGAUUCUGUGGGUGGUGGUGCAUGGCCGUUCUUAGUUGGUGGAGUGAUUUGUCUGGUUAAUUCCGUUAACGAACGAGACCCCAGCCUGCUAAAUAGCGCGAGUGAGCUUUGCUCGCUGCGAGCUUCUUAGAGGGACUAUGAUGCGCGAUAGCACAUGGAAGUUUGGGGCAAUAACAGGUCUGUGAUGCCCUUAGAUGUUCUGGGCCGCACACGGGCUACACUGGCGCCUGCAACGAGCAUAUCAGCUGGCCCGAGAGGGUCUUGGCUAAUCUUUUGAACCGGCGCCGUGCUUGGGAUUGACCUUUGCAAUUGUUGGUCAUGCAACGAGGAAUGCCUUGUAAACGCGAGUCAUCAGCUCGCAUUGAAUACGUCCCUGCCCUUUGUACACACCGCCCGUCGCUCCUACCGAUGAAUGUUCCGAUGAAAUUUUCGGAGAGCACCUGUGAACUUGGCUCUGCCUUGCGAACGGGAGGCUCAAAGUCCACUUAAAAUCUGAAAA
rnacentral:rRNA from 1 species